rnacentral:rRNA from 1 species
AGCGCAGCGAUGCGUUGAGCUAACCGGUACUAAUGACCCGUGAGGCUUAACCUUA